GUCCUCUCAGGAUAGCACCUGGAGAGUUUCUAGUACUCUACCAGUCUCGGUUAAGGGAGGGAGUGCCAAGCAGAGGCAUACCCAUUCCAUUCCUAGCUUGGGCUGUGGCUAGCGAGUGGAAGGCAAUCUGCUACGAGU